rnacentral:lncRNA from 1 species
GCGGGACUGAAAGGACCCCAGCGACACCAGCGCAGAAAAUCGAAACUGGAAACUGAGGACCCAGUGGGCACCCGAUCGGAAGGAGAGUGGAUCGCCUUACGAUCGGUCAGGCCCGCUUAGUACUGAACCGAGCCGAAGAGAAGCAAGAGGACGUGGAAAUCAGCACUCGUCUGCUUACGAGCCGGGUCAGCGAGGCGGGAAUGAGACAGCUGGUCUAGUGGGACUACAGCUCCGUAACACGAGUUGCAGCGAUGAAGCGGAGAACAGACUCCGCGGAACCACACAAGAAGAAGAGGAAACGCUGUGAGGAACCCAGCUCAGAUGAGGAACAUCUAAGUGACAGGGCGAC